ensembl:lncRNA
UGAAGGUCAGUGUGGGGAACAGCCCUGGUUUUCAGCCCUGUGAUGUGAGUGACAGAACAAGACUCAUUGUCCCUGCCUCUCCAGAACGUGAGCAGUUUUUACACUGUGAAAUUGGAUGUAACUUCUGUUCUUCUCUUGUGCAUUUGGAGACAUCUUGGUAUGUGCUAGUAUAUCUGCAUCAAGCAAGAAAAAUGGGAGCACUGGGGAUAUUUUCGGCCUUCAUGUUUGAAUAAGAAGUCAGAUGAAUUGCCAGGCAUAUGUAUGUGGAUUAUGGAUACAGAAGAAAAUUCCCAUUGUAUAAAGAAGAAUAUAUGCUGAGCACUGAAGCAGAGAAAAUGAAAGGUGUUUCUACCAAAUGAAAUAAAUAAAGUAACCAUACACCUCUAAGAAACUUGUAGGUGUUUGAGACCUUGUGAUAAAGCUACCACGUUAAGGCAGAAUCAUUGAAUCCUUAGAGUUGGAAGGGAUCUCUGAAGGCCAUAUAGUCCAAUUCCCCUGCAAUGACCAGGGAUACCACAGCCACAUCAGAUUGCCCAGGGCCUGAUCCAGCCUCGCCUGGAAAGUCUCCAGGGAUGGGGUAUCAAUGACAACACUAGAUGCUAUAAAACGUCAGUGUUACAGAAACAAAAGUUUGAAAUCUGUAACAUCCCACACAUGAAAGGAGGAAAAGUGACAAGAUUUGCAAAUCCCCCAUGAGGUUAAGGUGAAAUGACACUCAAGUGCCAGUCUGAGAAACAUUUCAUCCACUUCUGACUUAGUGUCAUCUCAAACCAGUGUUGGCUUCUGUGACCAGGUGGAGCAGUUAAGCAAAGAUCUGUAUCUCCUUGGGAACUGGAAGAAGUGUACAGUAGUAAUCACAUUUUCCUUUGCACAUUGUUUUGUUGCUUUUUUGUUUGUUUUUGGUGCAAAUUCAACAGAUUUUACAAAUGCUAAUAUCUUAACACAAUCACUCUAAACUUCACGAGUGCUGCAGUCACCUUCUUUUUAACUCUGCUACCAAUUACAUUGAUAGGGACGUUUCCUAUUUGCAAAAUCAGAAGCAAAUGCCAUCAAAUUGCUCUGUGAAUGCAUAUUGACCUCCCUUUUUAAGACUGAUAAUGAGAGGAUAUGUUUUUAUCAUCAGAUUACAGAGCAAAUAAUAAAAAUGCCGAAGAAAUUAUAAGAAAAAAACACUCAUAUUCAUAAAUACAUCUAUGUAUGAUAUUAUAAUUUUUCUUACUCUGUUUUUCUAAUAGUAAUUCAAUACUAGAAACAAAGAAAUAUAGUUGUGAGAGUGUGAUGAAAGACUUUCUCAUUUUUCUCAUUUUUCUAAGAGACUGUGGUUAAUAUAUUCAGGUUUGGCUUUCCUAAGACCUGAUAGGCUUCAAGCACUUUGUUCCCUGAAUUUCAUUAUUCUGUUUCUGGCUUAAAUAUAGAGGAUGACAAACAAGGAGUUCUAGGCAUGCAUAUAGGCAAUCAGAGGGAAAUCCAUACUUUUUAAUCAUUGCAGAAUGGAUUUGUAUGAGUAAUUACUCUAUUAACUAUUAACACUGUGGAUGAUAUAUUCAGAGCUAAACAAUUAGUAGAAGUUUGUUUGAAAAUAUUGUGUAAACCAUUAUGCAAAAUAACUGGAUUUUUCCUUUGUAAAUAACUUGAAAUUUACAUUUUGGUCACCGUCUUUUGUGAAUAAUUACUUGAAAGACAAUUCAGAUUUGUAGAGCUAUUGUAAAUUUGUUUGUUUGUUUGUUUUGUUCUGUUCUGUUUUGUUUUUUUUAAAUUGUAUUUACUUUUUUCACAUUGUGUAUGGCAGAAUGAGGAAAGACAGAGUCAUGAGCUGGAUAAGAAAGCUUCAUCUGACAAUCAGAAAAUAGCCAACAGAUGGAGAUAACUAAAGGUGUGUUAAAGAGGCAAGGGAUGGACAUCAACAUGACCAUCCCCAAAUAAAUGAGUGGAUCAUUACAAAUUCCCAGCACUUCUGUACACCUUCACUUGGAAAGAACAGAAGGAUUGAGAGAGAACUCACAAACUCUGCAGAGAGCAUGAACACUCAGUGGUGUUGUUUUGUACAGCAGAAGGGCUUGAAACUGCCAGCAGCUGCACACAUGCAUGGUUACAAAAUACACCGAUACCUGUUCAUCACUAAUAGGAAGUGAGCAUAUAUAUAUUUGGAAAAGAACUACUACUGCCCUAAAGUUCAGGAUGGGGAAGUCUCAGUGUUGAAGCACAGUCAGAUUAUCCAUGCCUAAAAAUGGAACUUUAAAAGCCAAACAUUUUAAAGGAACUAUCAAGAUGAAAAGGUUUUCUUUUUUUUUUUUUUUUUUUUUUUUAAUGCUGUUUUAAAACAGCAAUUUCACGCUUUUGAUAGGCUGCUGAAUGCCCAAAGAUAUAAAAUCCUCCACUCCACAACAUAAAUGUAGUGCCAAUUAUGUCUGGAAAAAAAAAAAUAAAAGACACUGAAGUUGCAAAAAAAUAUAACAAUAAAUAAAUAAAACAAUCCUCUUCUGUAUUUGGAUGAAGCGUUUCUCUUUGAACUUUAUCAUGAAAAAAACAAAACCACCACCUACAGGAAGAUAUCUCUCCAAAGUCUUCUUGGGUUGACAGCUCUGGCUUCAAUGCCUGCUCUGUUUCAUUGGUGCGCACACCUGUGCUGUGG